rnacentral:rRNA from 15 species
CCAAGGGUUGGGCUGUUCGCCCAUUAAAGUGGCACGCGAGCUGGGUUCAGAACGUCGCAAGACAGUUCGGUCUCUAUCUGUUGUGGGCGUUGGAAUAUUGAAGAGGUCUGUUCUUAGUACGAGAGGACCGGAAUGGACGAACCUCUAGUGUAUCGGUUGUGCCGCCAGGUGCACUGCCGAGUAGCUAUGUUCGGUUAGGAUAAGCGCUGAAAGCAUCUAAGCGCGAAGCCAUCUCUGAGAUGAGUAUUCCUAGCGUAAGCUGAAAGGACGUGGGAGACGACCACGUUGAUAGGUUGCAGGUGGAAGUGCAGUGAUGUAUGUAGCCGAGC